rnacentral:lncRNA from 1 species
UUCGCCUUCCGUUGCCGGCGUCAAGCUCUCUCCUUUCUUCUCUCCGCCGGCCGUUCCUUCUUUUUCUCUCUCUACCGCUUUCUCUUCUCAGAUCUCACCCCUCUUUCUUUUUUUGUUGUUGUUUUUUUUCUUUUUUUUUCCUUGUGGCUAACUGCCGUUUUCUCUCCUUUUUUGCAGGGUUUUUAAAGAGCCGGGUUGUCCAAUUUUUUGGACAACCCGGCGAGGGGGGUUCUGGCACCCCCUGGAGUUGGUGGUCAGAGGCCCCCCCCAUCACGCGUAGUGGGUGGGGGAUGGGAAGGCGAAGGGAUGGCUGGGCGUACGCCCAGCCAUCCCG